GGCGAGGCGGUUACUGGCGCGAAGUACGACGCAGUUCGGUUUUCACCGAGAAAGAAGCGGCAGUCGGCGCGAUGGCGAAGGAAGAGGUGGAGGAGGAGGAAGAGGAGAAGAAAGAGAAGGAGACGGCGGCGGCAAUGGCAUCCGUGACUGGACACUGCAUAUGAUUUCACGAGAUAAAAAUUAAAUGAACUUCGAAAGAAACAAGGAACACGUGGACAAGAAACACGGUUGUCGAUCAAACGGUUGCAAAAAGGAAAAAAAGGAGAGCCCUUACAUAAAAAAAAUCCAGCCGAUGAGAAGACAAUUCCUUCAUUGGGAGAGAGGGAGGGAAAGAUCCGAAUAACAUCACUUCUUUUUCCGUCACUUCCCACGAGCCAUUCCCAUGCGAUGCAAAACUUGAGCGGGACGACUCAAGGCUGAAAGAUACCAGGUGCAUCGGCACCGUUCCGCUUGCAUCGCGACGGGUCUCAUUCCAGGCGAGAUGACGAAGCCAGUA